ACCUGCUCCACAUGGCACCCGGUGCUGGUGUCCGGUGCUGGCAUUUGGUGAUGGCGUCCGGUGAUGGCAUCUGGUGAUGGCGUCCGGUGAUUGCAUUUGGUGAUGGUGUUUGGUGAUGGCGUUUGGUGAUGGCGUCCGGUGAUGGCGUCCGGUGCUAUGUGUCCAGCCAACUUUGCUCUCUGCCCUGGGAUCCGCCUUGCGUGUGCUUGGGGUGUGUGCGUGCGCGAAUAUGUGUACAUACGUGUCCCUCCCAUCCAAUGUGACGAAAGCCGACCUCGCUUGGCUUACGUGCGAGCCCCGACACUGGUGACCGUGUUCUUCCCGGGCGCAGUGCCGGCCCCAGGACACCCAUCCGCGGUCCGGCCCGGUUUUCCCGGGGGCCUGUCCCCGCGCUGCAGGCAAGAAUCUGAGCUCCUUUCCGGUCACACAGCCGCCCGCCAUCGGGCUGCUCUCGCCUCUCGGCCUCCCCCGUGGUUAGAUUGUGUCCUGCUGUUACCGCGGCCACAUCGCCCUGAAAGACCAGCUGCACGCCUGUGGACGCGGGUAUCUCAGAGCAGAGCCAGAGCAGGGAGGGCGGACACCCUCCCCUUGGACCGCGGCCCUGGGCCGCCCUGACAGCGGGAGCUCACCGCCACCUGCCAGGCCAGAUCCGGGGCACUUCCCGCCCACCUCCCGCCCACCUCCCGCCCAGCCCCUGAGCCAGCGAAGCCUCACGCCAUCUCCUUGCCUGGGUCAAACCUCUUUCCUUGUCCGACUUUAAUGUCUGGAGUCCUCGCUCCAGCUCCCAGCCCAGCGCCCGGCUUCUCAUCCCCCAGGGACAGCCAGGCACACAGGAACCCUGGUCAUUUCUGAGGGGAAAUUGGGAAAACAUCAGCCUGAAAUGCCAUGAAGACACGGUGACCUGCCCUUUUAUUUGGUAGCGUGUAGAGUGAUACCACUUGUUUUAUACAUCUUCAGGGUUUUUCCCAUUGUAAUCGUGUUCAGUUUUGCAUGGCCUGGGUGUGACCAGUUUCUUGUUUGGAGUGUCAUGCUGACACAUACGUGUGCCUGGAAGAGGACACGCGAUUGCUUUGGCCUUUGGUCACGCAUUUCAUUUUGUUUGGUUUGAUGCUUUCAAUCUCUUAGGGAACGCUGAAGAGAUGCUCUGCGACCAACAGGGCGUGGAUUCUUUUGCACAAACAUUGAAGGUGGACAGUGACAAUGUGAGAGACUCCUCGCCAGUAUCUAUGUUGGAGUCACUCAGUGUUAACCAGACUUGGAUGCGUCGCAAUAAAACGGGCUGUUAGAAUGGAGGGUGCUGUCUUUCCUCCCUGAUCAUAAAGUCUGAGGACGGAGCAAAGGCGACCGACUGUCCUCACGGGCCCUGUUCCUGCCGCCCGGCUCCUCCUUACGCUGUGGAGGACGUGGGGAGGCACCAGGACUUGCUCAGUCCCGCACAGCUCAGCCGGGAGCCGCGCCCCCUUCCCCUGAAGCUCUCGGCUCUCUCAGCUCUCUGCAGGCCGAGCCCGAGUGCCUGCAUCCUGCACGGCCAGCGUCUCCCCCUCGUGGCUCUUACUGAUGCUGCGGUGAGCGUGGGUGUGGGUGUCUGUGGAUUAGUGUUUGAUUUCUUUGAAUAAGUACCCAGGAGUGGGCCUGCUGAUAGUGUGGCAGCUGUUUCUGAUUUUUUGAACAAUCUUCAUACUGGUUCCCUAGCAGCUGCCUCAGUUUACAGUCCCAACAGUUGAGGUGGGUUUCUUCCCUCCUCGCCAGCACUUGCUGAUUUCUUGGUGACGGCCAUUCUGACACGUAUGCACUGGCAUCUCAUGGUGGUUUAAUUUGCAUUUUCCUGAUCAGUGACAUUGAGCACCUUUUCAUACAUCUGUCGGCCAUUUGCUGUCCUUCUUGUAGAAGUGCCUACUGAGGUCCUCUGCCUUUUUAAUCGGAUUGUUUGGUUAACUUAUACGAGUUCCUUAUGUAUUGUGUAUGUUGACCCCUUGUCAGUGUAUCAUUGGCCAAUAAUACCAUUGCCCAGUCCGUAGGUUAUCUGUUCGUUUUAAUGGUUUCCUUCCCUGUGCAGAUCUUUUGAGUUUGAAGUUGUCCCAUUUGCUUAUUUUUUGUUUUCCUUGUCUGAGGAGACAUAUCCAAGGAGAUAUUUGCUAACAGUGAUGUCAGAUUCACUGCCUAUUUUCUUCUAGCAGGCUGUGCUUCCAGGCCUUAUGUUUAAGUCUUCAGUCCAUUUUCCGUGUAUUUUUGUACGUGAUGUAAGUGGUCCACUUUCCCUUUAUGCAUGUAUCUGUCCUACUUUCCCAGCACCACUCAUUGAAGACUCUCCUUUCCCCCUUGACUAUCCUUGCCUCCUUUUUCGUAGAUCAACUGUGUGCGCAAGGAUUCAUUUCUGGGGUCUCCGUCCUAGUCCACUGACCUGUGUGUCUGUUUUUACGCCAGCGCCGCAGGUUUAAUAAUGCAGACCUUAGUAUAGUUUGACAGCACUAAGCGUGGCACUCCUGCUUUUUGUUCUCAGAUUGUUUUGGCUGUUCAGGUCUUCUGCGGCUCCGUAUGAAUUCCAGGGUUAGUUGUUAGAAUGCUGAGAACGCCAUUGGGAUUGCACUCAAUCUGCAGACUGCUUUAGGUAGUAAGGACAUUUUAACAAUAUUAAUUCUUCCAAUCCGUGAACGUGGUAUAUAUCCUUCCAUUUAUUUGUAUCUUCUUCAGUUUUUCUUCAGUGUCUUAUAGUUUUCAUAGUACAGAUCUUUCACCUCUUUGGUUAAAUUUCUUCAUAGGUAUUUUAUGCUUUUUGAUGCAAUUGUAAAUGGGAUUGUUGUCUUAAAUUCUCUGAUAGUUAAUUGCAGCCAAUUUCUGAAUAUUAAUUUUGUGUCCUGAAUUUAUCCAUUCUAAUAGUUUUUUAGUGAAAUCUUUAGAGUUCUCUUUCUUGUAUCUGUUCAUCAGAUAUUGGCUUGUAAUUCUCUUUUCCUGUAAUGUCUCUCUCUGGUUUUGGUGUCAGGGUGAUGCUGACUUUGUGGAAUAGUUUGGAAGCACUUCUUCCUCUUCCGUUUUUUGAAACAGCUUAAGGAGAAGUAUUAAUUCUUUGAUUGUUUGAUAGAACUCACCUGUGAAGCCAUCUGGUCCUGGACUUUUAUUGGGAGGUGUGUUUUUUUAUCCUCAUCCGAGAAUGUGUGUGUUUUUUUUUUAUUUUAGAGAAACAUUGAUCGGUUGCUUCCCAUAAGCGGUUUUGGUCUACAAGACAUUCCAAUCAACUGAGCCACCAACCAGGGCCGGAGUUGUUUUUAUUACAGCUUCAACGUCACUACUAGUAAUCAUUGUUUAGAUUUUGUAUUUCUGGGUUGUCUUGUGAAGCCAUAAAUUUUCUAGAAAUGUCCCCCUUUGUUCUGGAGUGUUGAAUUUGUUGCAUGUAAUUGUACGUAAGUGCUCUUUAAUGAUGUUUUGUACUUCUGUGGUGUCGGUUGUAAUGUCUCUUUCGUUCAUAUUUUUAUUGGGGCUUUCUUAAAUGAGUUUAGCUAAUCGUUUGCCAAUUUUAGUUUUAUUUUUAAACUGUAAUUUUUGUCCAUUUUUUAAUUUUAUUUCUGCUCCGAUCUUAACUAUUUCCUUCCUUCCGUUUACUCUGGGCUUUGUUCUCUUUCAGGUCCUUCGCGUAUAGAUUUGGUUAUGACUUUCCUUGCUCCCUGGGGUCGGCCUCUAUGACUGGAUUCCCUCGGAACUGCUUUUGUUGUGUCCUUGUUACUUCCUCCCCAUCCUCACUGGUUGUUUCGGAGCGUGUUGUUCAGUCUCCACAUCUUUGAUUCUUUUUCAGUUUUCUUCCUGGGUGGGUUUCUAGUUUCAUGCCCCUCUGGUGGCAAAAGAUGCUUGAUAUAUGACUUCAGUCUUGAAUUUAUGAACCUUGUUUGGUGGCCUAGCAUGUGUUCUAUUCUGGAGACUGUUCCGUGUGCACAUGAAAGAAAAUGGGGAUUCUUAAAUUGAUGGACGAAAUGCUGACAAGGGGUUGGCGGGUGGUGCUGGACCCUCAGGGCAGCAGCUGCCAUGGAGACCACGCCUUCCCGGCCCAGAGCCCAGCGUGUUGCUUAUCCAUCUCAACUUGCAAAGGUUUGCCUUUAGCACCUUAGGACCCGUGUGCGAACCUAUUUCGGACGAAGUCUCUCCCCGUUAUUUCAGCCCCGAGAGAACUUUGCAGGUGGUCACGGUGUUCGGAGCCUCCACCUGAAUGUUCCUGUUCCCGAGCUCGUCCCGCCGGGGAAGCCACGUGUCGGGAGUUCAUUUGCGGCUGAUCUCACGUGGGUUUCACUGCGGUUCAGGAGCGCGGGCCCUGCUGGCUGCCGCUUUCCCAGUUGCCAGCAUUGCCGAGUUCCAGCUUCUUGAGUGGCUGCGGCUUUUCUGUGUGAGGGGUAGGGCCCUGGGGGGUGCACAGGGGAGCUGCUGGGGUGGUGAUGCGGGGCUGCCCCUCCCCCCUUCCAGGCUCAGGCACGUUCAGAGCCUCACACGGGCACAUGUGCAGGCCUCGCAGGAACAGGCGGCGGCGGGUGCGCACUGACCUUGGCUCCUCAUUCGUUAGGAGGAAAGAAUUCAGGCCACAACGGUAGGAUGGUUUGCCUUUUUUUGAAAAUACGUUUUUAUUGAUUUCAGAGAGAGAGGGAGAGAGAAACGUCAGUGCGUAGAGAGAAUCAUUGAUCUGCUGCCUCCUGCACGCCCCACACUGGGGCUCGAGCCUGCAGCCCGGGCCUGUGCCCUGACCGGGAAUGGAGCCCUGACCUCGUUCAUAGGUCGCCGCUCAACCACUGCGCCACGCCGGUUGGGCUGUUUUGCUUUUAUUGAAACAAGUAAAUCAGACAAUUACAAGAAUUUUACAAAAAUUAACAGCCUGUGGGGACCCCGGUCUGACCAUGUGACAUCUGCACGUUGGUAUCACUCCACCAGGGCCCUGGUCCGGAGGGGAAGGAGGGUCCCCACACGCCAUCCUCUGCCCGCCCUAGAAUACCAGAGCUGUCACUCUCCCCCUCUGCUGCUCCCGACCCUGCCCACGGGAGGCAGCAAUUCUCCAGAAACUUCCAGUUCUCACAGAACAGCAACCAGCCAGAGAGCGGGCCUCUCUCGGGCAAACAGUACUUGUGGGCACUGCUCCCGUCCGACUCCGGAUGCCGAUCACAAGCUGGAGGAAAAGGCAGAAAACACGCACACACCUUAUAGCUCAUGUUCAGCAGCAGCCAAAAGGGUUCUCUACUCUCUUCCUGGUGGCAGGGGUCUCGCCUUCUGGUUAACACUCACAUUAGGUAAAACCCGUACUAAAAGGAAAUAAAAUGGCCUUUUUAUCUUUGUCUAGAGGAUUCCAGAGGCUCAAUAAACAACUGUUAGGUUCUGACAGAGGAGCUGGGGUUUCAUUCUCAUUCGUGCACACCUCACGCCGCACCCUCUUAGCAAUAAAAA